UGCCCCAUGGCUGAGUUGGUUACAGCGUCCGACUGUUAUUGAGCAAUCGGAAGGUCGUGAGUUCGAGCCUCACUGGGGCAG
rnacentral:tRNA from 1 species